UGCUCUGGAGAAAAAGGUACGGAGCACGGCGAUGCGGGUAAACCUAGGUACACGGUACGCCGCCUCCCUCGAUCUCCUUUUGUCUGGAACGCUGCUACCCUUUCAGCCGUCGUUUCCACUCAUCCCCAAACCCCGACCCUCCCAAUCCUUCUCCUCUUGUGACCGAGGGUGAAUCGUUUGUGUGCCGCCACUUCUGCGAGAUGUCGCCGAUGCGCAAGGAAAUUCGAAGGAGAAGUGCUACACUUGCAACCCCGGAGGCGGCGGCGACCUCCCCUUCAUAAAGACGUCCGUGAAGGUACGGUCAGGAGAGACAAGGCGCGACGAAGAACUCUCGCGUCCUGAUUGCAGUUCGAUGUCCCUGCCAUCGAUGCAUUUAACAGCCGUCUGCAGAGUGAAGGCCAACGACUAAGAUAUCUCGUGAAAUUCAAUCCCGCCCUCCUGAUUCAGUUCAUGACGGAAGCUGCUAACACCGAUUCUGAAUUUAAUAGCAACAAAGCGUUAGGAUUAUCCCUCUGGUUCAAUCAAUUUUUGCAGUUGUUGUGUGUUCGCGCUCCGUUCAUUCACUGAUUCAAUUUCACAUAUUGGACAUUCCUUUUCCGAUUGUUCUGGUGCUUCGAUCAGAAGUGCCCUGUCGAAUUAACGAGUUAAGCUGCCGUUAAUGGUAGUGGAGGUGCGCCACUCCUAUGCUGAUGUUGGAGAAUUUCUGACCACAAGAGAACGACAAGGAGGCAGUGGCGUCCAAUUUCAUAUGCGAGGUGGCGAAUCUGGGCGAGCUGCCGCUAAUGUCUCGACAGUAAUUAAUCGAAGUGAUCGUGUUUGUUGUUCAUGAACAUGCUAUGGCAGAACAAUUCAAUUUCUGGCCCAAUUACUUGGUGAGAAAGGCAUCUAGGUAGCAGCACCCUAAUUCACUUUGUUAUCUCAAGAACCUCAAGUGUAUGUAAGAUUUAUUUCUCAGGUUGUUGAUCGCUAAGCCUUCCUGUUGUAUAUAAAAGCUUAUUUUCAUUCUGUUCCUCUCGUCGCUACAAGAAAUUUAACAGAAACAGAACCUAUAGUUUUACGUGAUUCAUUAGCCACCAUUAAAUUUCCUUCCUGUUAUGUAUUUUGUGUCAGUCCCGUUUCCUUUUCCCUCCAUGGAGUCCUUAAUAUUAUUCGAAUAAUGUUGAGCUGGUGCAAGUUAUAGAUUUGUGAUUAGCUCUUCUCAAAAUCUAUGAACCUUGGCUUUGGAAAUACACAUGUUGUCUUGACCAUUCCUAGGUUCCUGCCUAUUUUACCAUUUGACGAUCACAAUUACUAUAUCAUAGUUGCUGUAAGAUGAGUUUUAAACAUAUGCUGGCACCUACAUAUAUUAUGAAGUGUGAUUUGAUAUAUAUUGCAAAGAAAUAGCAAUGCCUACUUGUUCUGGAUAUAAUUUUGUAUCAGUUCACAGCUGAUCAUACAUUUUUAUUUGUUAACAUAAGAAAUCUUUGGCUUCUCCUAAUUAUACCAUUUUUAUUUGUACAUAAGAAACCUUUGACUUCUCCAACCACUGAGUACUGAAGUUUCUAUAUGUCUGGAUUUCUCAAUGGUCAAUCAAUUUGUUACCAUAUAGUUGAGCACUUGAGCAGUCUGCCAAUAUACGAUUAUAAUUUUACUAGUAGGAAGCUAAACAAGAAAAUAUAAUUAACUUUGUUAGGUACGUGGAGCAAUACUAACUCUUUAAAUCAUGUGUUAGUAUUGUACUAGAAUUUACGAAUAUUUGUAAUUUUGUUCCAUGAUCCAUGUUAUUGCAUGUCCACAUUAUUUUUCUCCAAGUAUUUUUGGAUGCUUAAAAAAUUACCUCUCAAAGGUUUAUUGUACCAGAGAUUUUAUUUUGAGGCAUGCCACAUUUGAGUUUAACACAAUAGAGAAUAUUUUAAUUCACACAAAAAGGAAAACAACAGCUACAUGGGCCGGCCCUAUAGUGGUUUGCAUGUGCGUUAUAGCGACAAUACGCCAGAAAAGGCGAUGAAUGGGAUUUUCCACCCUCGCUGGCAUAUUGUUUUUUCCUCCGGCAACCAAGCCAAUUCUGCUAGAUUGAAGGCGAGAUGGCUGGUGUUCUUGGUAUGGACUACUCUGAAAGCCAGUCUUCAGCAGGGUUUUAACUCUCACAAAUGUAGUUUUUCUAUAGGAAUAGAUACUGAAUCCCGAAUACUUUGAUUGUUAUGCUGUGAAAGUAUCAAUAUUCACUAACCUUUCUGAUUCAGCCCAUUGAAGUCUUCUAUGUAAUGCAUUGAGCCAUUGGUAGUGUUGAAAUUGGAGUAAAGAACGAUGUUGAAAUUGCUCUGAUUAUUACUGAAUUAUGUUGUACUCCUGAACUUGUUAGAGGGUGACAACUUAGAAGUUUCAGGUCUCAUUUGUCCAUUUUCAUUUAGUCAUUUUAAUUUUAACUUUGAGAGGGCACCAUGAUCUUAUUAGGAAUAUCAGCUUUGCAUGAUUAAUUGGUGUUUUUUACAUUCAUA